GGUUAAGUUAGAAAGGGCGCACGGUGGAUGCCUUGGCACUAGGAGCCGAUGAAGGACGGGACGAACACCGAUAUGCUUCGGGGAGCUGUAAGCAAGCUUUGAUCCGGAGAUUUCCGAAUGGGGAAACCCACCACUCGUAAUGGAGUGGUAUCCAUAUCUGAAUACAUAGGAUAUGAGAAGGCAGACCCGGGGAACUGAAACAUCUAAGUACCCGGAGGAAGAGAAAGCAAAUGCGAUUCCCUGAGUAGCGGCGAGCGAAACGGGACCAGCCCAAACCAAGAGGCUUGCCUCUUGGGGUUGUAGGACACUCUGUACGGAGUUACAAAGGAACGAGGUAGAUGAAGAGGUCUGGAAAGGCCCGCCAUAGGAGGUAACAGCCCUGUAGUCAAAACUUCGUUCUCUCCUGAGUGGAUCCUGAGUACGGCGGAACACGUGAAAUUCCGUCGGAAUCCGGGAGGACCAUCUCCCAAGGCUAAAUACUCCCUAGUGACCGAUAGUGAACCAGUACCGUGAGGGAAAGGUGAAAAGCACCCCGGAAGGGGAGUGAAAGAGAUCCUGAAACCGUGUGCCUACAAGUAGUCAGAGCCCGUUAACGGGUGAUGGCGUGCCUUUUGUAGAAUGAACCGGCGAGUUACGAUCCCGUGCAAGGUUAAGCAGAAGAUGCGGAGCCGCAGCGAAAGCGAGUCUGAAUAGGGCGAAUUGAGUACGUGGUUGUAGACCCGAAACCAGGUGAUCUACCCAUGUCCAGGGUGAAGUUCAGGUAACACUGAAUGGAGGCCCGAACCCACGCACGUUGAAAAGUGCGGGGAUGAGGUGUGGGUAGGGGUGAAAUGCCAAUCGAACCUGGAGAUAGCUGGUUCUCUCCGAAAUAGCUUUAGGGCUAGCCUCAAGGUAAGAGUCUCGGAGGUAGAGCACUGAUUGGACUAGGGGCCCCUACCGGGUUACCGAAUUCAGUCAAACUCCGAAUGCCGAUGACUUAUCCUUGGGAGUCAGACUGCGAGUGAUAAGAUCCGUAGUCGAAAGGGAAACAGCCCAGACCGCCAGCUAAGGUCCCAAAGUAUACGUUAAGUGGAAAAGGAUGUGGAGUUGCUUAGACAACCAGGAUGUUGGCUUAGAAGCAGCCACCAUUUAAAGAGUGCGUAAUAGCUCACUGGUCGAGUGACUCUGCGCCGAAAAUGUACCGGGGCUAAACGUAUCACCGAAGCUGCGGACUGUUCUUCGAACAGUGGUAGGAGAGCGUUCUAAGGGCUGUGAAGCAAGACCGGAAGGACUUGUGGAGCGCUUAGAAGUGAGAAUGCCGGUAUGAGUAGCGAAAGAGGGGUGAGAAUCCCCUCCACCGAAUGCCUAAGGUUUCCUGAGGAAGGCUCGUCCGCUCAGGGUUAGUCGGGACCUAAGCCGAGGCCGAAAGGCGUAGGCGAUGGAUAACAGGUUGAUAUUCCUGUACCACCUCCUCACCAUUUGAGCAAUGGGGGGACGCAGGAGGAUAGGGUAAGCGCGGUAUUGGAUAUCCGCGUCCAAGCAGUUAGGCUGGGAAAUAGGCAAAUCCGUUUCCCGUGAAGGCUGAGCUGUGAUGGCGAGCGAAUUAUAGUAGCGAAGUUCCUGAUUCCACACUGCCAAGAAAAGCCUCUAGCGAGGUGAGAGGUGCCCGUACCGCAAACCGACACAGGUAGGCGAGGAGAGAAUCCUAAGGUGAUCGAGAGAACUCUCGUUAAGGAACUCGGCAAAAUGACCCCGUAACUUCGGGAGAAGGGGUGCUCUGUUAGGGUGCAAGCCCGAGAGAGCCGCAGUGAAUAGGCCCAGGCGACUGUUUAGCAAAAACACAGGUCUCUGCGAAGCCGUAAGGCGAAGUAUAGGGGCUGACGCCUGCCCGGUGCUGGAAGGUUAAGAGGAGCGCUUAGCGUAAGCGAAGGUGCGAAUUGAAGCCCCAGUAAACGGCGGCCGUAACUAUAACGGUCCUAAGGUAGCGAAAUUCCUUGUCGGGUAAGUUCCGACCCGCACGAAAGGCGCAACGAUCUGGGCACUGUCUCAACGAGAGACUCGGUGAAAUUAUAGUACCUGUGAAGAUGCAGGUUACCCGCGACAGGACGGAAAGACCCCGUGGAGCUUUACUGCAGCCUGAUAUUGAAUGUUGGUACAGCUUGUACAGGAUAGGUAGGAGCCUUGGAAACCGGAGCGCCAGCUUCGGUGGAGGCAUCGGUGGGAUACUACCCUGGCUGUAUUGACCUUCUAACCCGCCGCCCUUAUCGGGCGGGGAGACAGUGUCAGGUGGGCAGUUUGACUGGGGCGGUCGCCUCCUAAAAGGUAACGGAGGCGCCCAAAGGUUCCCUCAGAAUGGUUGGAAAUCAUUCGCAGAGUGUAAAGGCACAAGGGAGCUUGACUGCGAGACCUACAAGUCGAGCAGGGACGAAAGUCGGGCUUAGUGAUCCGGUGGUUCCGCAUGGAAGGGCCAUCGCUCAACGGAUAAAAGCUACCCCGGGGAUAACAGGCUUAUCUCCCCCAAGAGUCCACAUCGACGGGGAGGUUUGGCACCUCGAUGUCGGCUCAUCGCAUCCUGGGGCUGUAGUCGGUCCCAAGGGUUGGGCUGUUCGCCCAUUAAAGCGGUACGCGAGCUGGGUUCAGAACGUCGUGAGACAGUUCGGUCCCUAUCCGUCGCGGGCGCAGGAAAUUUGAGAGGAGCUGUCCUUAGUACGAGAGGACCGGGAUGGACGCACCGCUGGUGUACCAGUUGUUCUGCCAAGGGCAUCGCUGGGUAGCUAUGUGCGGACGGGAUAAGUGCUGAAAGCAUCUAAGCAUGAAGCCCCCCUCAAGAUGAGAUUUCCCAUUCCGCAAGGAAGUAAGAUCCCUGAAAGAUGAUCAGGUUGAUAGGUCUGAGGUGGAAGUGUGGCGACACAUGGAGCUGACAGAUACUAAUCGAUCGAGGACUUAACCAA
rnacentral:rRNA from 2 species